GACGAACGCUGGCGGCGUGCCUAAUACAUGCAAGUCGAGCGGAACUGGGGGAGCUUGCUCCUUCCAGUUUAGCGGCGGACGGGUGAGUAACACGUGGGCAACCUGCCCCGCAGAUCGGGAUAACUCCGGGAAACCGGUGCUAAUACCGAAUAGUUUGGCGCCUCUCCUGAGGCGCUACGGAAAGACGGUUUCGGCUGUCACUGCAGGAUGGGCCCGCGGCGCAUUAGCUAGUUGGGGGGGUAACGGCCCACCAAGGCGACGAUGCGUAGCCGACCUGAGAGGGUGACCGGCCACACUGGGACUGAGACACGGCCCAGACUCCUACGGGAGGCAGCAGUAGGGAAUCUUCCGCAAUGGACGCAAGUCUGACGGAGCAACGCCGCGUGAGUGACGAAGGUUUUCGGAUCGUAAAACUCUGUUGUGAGGGAAGAACACGUACCAACUAACUAUUGGUACCCUGACGGUACCUCACCAGAAAGCCACGGCUAACUACGUGCCAGCCGCCGCCGUAA
rnacentral:rRNA from 1 species